rnacentral:lncRNA from 10 species
GCUUGAACCCCGGAGGCGGAGGUUGCGGUGAACUGAGAUCGCACCAUUGCACUCCAGCCUGCGCAACAAGAGUGAAACUCCGUCUCAAAAAAAAAACAAAAAAUACCCAAUGAUAUACUUCACAUAAAUAUGUUUCCAAAAACAUAUGCAUAUGCACAGGUAUGUAUGCCCAUAUAUGAACCCAACAGAGUAGAAAGACUAGACAGAAAUACGUAAAACUGCUAAUACGCUACAAUUUUAAAAAGUGCCAACUACAUGGAUAUUCUGUACAUAUUAUCUCUAAUUCUUAUCAUAAUCUCAAAAGGUAAAUAUUUUUGCCAUAUUUCAGGUAAGGAAAGAAGCUCAGAGCAGGCAGCCAGUAGAUUAAAUAACCUACCCAAUGCCAAACAUCUAGUUAGUGGUUUAACUGGGAUUCAAACUCAAUGCUGCUCUUUCAAGUCCAGACCAUUUCUAAUCCAUAAGAGUUUUCUCUAUGUGAUGGGGUGAUUUUUAUUUUCUUUUUUAUAUUUUCAGUAUUCUCUAAAUUGUACACAAUGAAAUUUAUUUUUCCUGCUAUUAUUGUUUAACUCACGUUUUAUUUUUAAAUAAAGUACACCAUAAUCUUUCUCUAAUACACAUUGGAAUUUGGUAUCUGAUUUUAGUUUUUAAAAAUGUUUCUAGAUUUCUCUGUAUUAAAAUUCAACAUUCAGUGAUGAAAGAAACAUUUUAGGAAUAUUGGUGCCAUGAAGAUACUAAUUUCGCAAUCAUUCAAAACAACCAAUGUUAUUUUUAUUUUUUAAAAAAUGCUACUUCUUGGCCGGGCGUGGUGGCUCACGCCUGUAAUCCCAGCACUUUGGGAGGCCGAGGCGGGCGGAUCACGAGGUCAGGAGAUCGAGACCAUCUUGGCUAACACGGUGAAACCCCAUCUCUACUAAAAAUACAAAAAAUUAGCCGGGCGAGGUGGCGGGCGCCUGUAGUCCCAGCUAUUCGGGAGGCUGAGGCAGGAGAAUGGCGUAAACCCCGGGGGGCGGAGCCUGCAGUGAGCCGAGAUCGCGCCACUGCACUCCAGCCUGGGCGACAGAGCGAGACUCCGUCUCAAAAAAAAAAAAAAAAAUGCUACUUCUUAAAAGUAAAUAUUUUAUAAAAACAAAUGAAAAAAUGUGCUGAACAUUGGAGCCUGAGAGCUAUGGCUCUCCUCCACUGCACGAACUGCAGCAAGCUGCUUAGCUUCUCUGAGGAUCAGUUUCCUUGUAUAUGAAAUGAGGUAAGCAGAAGGCCUGGGCUGCCCAUGCCACAAGGCUGCUGUGAGGAUCAAAUAAGAGACUAGAAGUGAAAGCACCACUGACUUACUCUUCAAUAAUGCUAUAUUUAUUGGGCACCUACUGAUCGUCUGGUGCUAGACAGUGAGAGUAUAAGAGAAGACACAGUCUCUUCCCUGAUGGCGUUUAAAUCUGCUGCUGACGCUUAAAACAAUUUCAACAUAGUAGGACAAGUGCUGGGACAGGGAGGUACCAGGUGCUGUGGAGCAGGAGAGAGGAAGCUAACCCAGUUGGGUAACUAGAGGAAGACACAGCUAAGCCUCAAUACCUGAGGGAUGAGUGGGACAGGGCUGAGGCCUGGAAGAGAGUGUCCCAGACCAAGGAAGGGCACAGGCUGAGGCCUGGAGGAGGGACACAGGGCCGGUGGGGGCCACUGGUGAUCACUCAGGCUGGCAGGGGCACAGAGCACAUGGGAGGAGGGAUGACAUUAGCUCACAAGCAGUCUCAUCGUCAUCGAUGAUAAUAAAUGUCUCCAUUCCUAGGCAUACGUUUAUCUUGUUUUCUCCAUUAAAAUAGGAAUGCAUGUUUCGUCUCUUUGUAAAACCUGUGAGUGAACGAGCACUGAUGGUACUGAAGGUAUAGUAAGUGUGAAGGAUACAGAUCCAGGAAUCAUCCUGGUUCCUGCAGGGGAGAUUUACAGAGAACUCAUAGAGCAGAUGAGGAAGGGUUAUGGAGGCUCCCUAGAAGGACUACUGCAGCACAGAGAUUCCUGACAUGCAAGCAUCCAUCCACCAUUCUGCUCCAGAAAGUGACCUCGAGGCCCACCCUCUGGAAGAACUGUGUUACUUCUCCAUAGUCUUAUGAGCCACAUUGUCCCCAAAGGAACCAGAUCUGUACUCCAAAUUUUGAAGAGCCUGCAGAGAACUCAUCAGCUUUCAUAUCUGUGCAUGAAACCAGAGAUGAUCCUCUCCCCACUGAGAACCCGACUUUGCUGGCUAGCUCAGCUCUGCAAACUUAGCUCACACUCCUCUCCCAACCACUUCAGAAUUCUUUUCAAGGUCUCCCCAACCUUUAAGAGCGAUUUCCCUCAGCCACAAGAGCUUUCUUGAGAAGAAAUAGUGGUGAGAGCAAGCAGAGAAGUGUAAUUACCAACCCAGCUGCCUUCUCGGGCAUCAGCUAGCUGAGCAUUCCAAAACAAAUGGAGAACGGAGAAAAUGAUCAGGAACUGAGGGACUGAAAGGAAGUGUCAUGGGCACUCUUAAGGAAGUGGCCAAGACUAAGAAAUGUGACAGAGGAGGCAAUGAGGGGGUACCUGGGGAGACUGACCCCAGAACAUUUACAUCUUUGAAGUAGUAGCCGGAGCAGUAUUAGAGUCCACAUGACUACUCCUAGUAGUGACAUUACUCACACACACACAUGCUGCUUACUGUAGGCCAGGCAGCAUUCUAAGCACUUUACCAACGCUACACUUUACAUAUACUAACUUAUUUAAUCAUCACUACUUUAUGAGCUAAGUAUCCAGAUUUUACAGAUGAAGAAACUGAAGUACAAAGAGAUUAAAUGAUUUGCUCAAGGUCGCAUAGCUUGUAAGUGGCAGAGCUGAGAUCUACAUCUAGAUGGUCUGGCUCAGAAUUCAAGCUUUUAACCAUUACACUGUAUUUAAACCUUAAUGCUGAAAGGCAGAAGGGGUAGCUAGUAAAAGUAGCCAGGCACCAAUGAGAAUGCUUUUGUUUAUAAACCUUAGCACAGAGCUUCCCUGCUGAUGUGCUGUGAAUGAGGUAUUGAUCCCCUCAUCAGGCCUCCAGUCACUCACUGUUACUUAGGUGUGCAGAACAGUAUCAUUUUCAGCGUGUGCUAUGAUGUGAAAAGGUUGGGCAGCACUGCCCUAGCUUCUGGAAAUAUGAAGGCAUUAUUACCACAUUAUCAUCGUCCUAUUAAUCAAAAACUUCAUUUAUCAGAAGUUUCUUCUUCUUGCUCUGAGCUUGCCUUGUAUUUUGUGUUUUGUCAUCUUAUGAAAGAUGAGCUACCAACCAAAGUCCACCUACAUUAUUUCAUGGCAGUUCUGGUGUCAGGGACAGGCUACGUUCUUCUGUCUGACCCAUUAGUGGGAAGAUUUGGUUUUGUGGCAUCAUGAUUAUGCUGGGACAAGGAAAGGGUACACUCAAACAGACACUAGUCAGAUUUAACACAUGAUGGAUGAAAGGAGCCACUUGUAAAGUCAGCUCAAUCAAAGGACCGUCUGUCCAUAGCGAUACUGCAAGGGGCUAAGGUAUUCUUUCCCCAAGAGUCUGGUGUGAGGGGAGGCUGGGCUGCAGCAUGCAGGUGGCAGCAUUUCACUCCGCUGCAAUGAAACUGGCAGGUGAGGCCUGCUAGGGUGCCAGCAAAGGAUCCCCCACAGGCCUCAGACAGGACUGGGGGCCUGAGAGUCCUAGAGACAAAAGGUCACAACUCCAGUCCAUCUUCUACCUCUGUUCUGAUUCUGGGAUCACAGGCAGCCUUCAGAGCUGUCACUGCAUCUCCUGGUGGAAGGAACAAGAGGAAGGACAUGGAAGGGGAGAAUGAAGUGUGUGCUGAAGAAAGAGCAAGCAGGAGGAAAGGGCUGGAUGGGAGUGGGGAGCAGCGUGUAGAAAGCUGACAAAGGUGGGCUGCGCUCAAGGCCCCCAAGCACAAACGCAGCCCACGAGGCUCUCCAACCCCAAGCCCCUGUCUACCUUCCAGCCUCAGCACCCAACACAGCCAUUGUUUCAUGUAAAAAUGAAACUAGUGGCUAGUUUCACUUGCCAUUCAAGGGAUCCCACAUGUGCUUUUCCUUGCUUUUCCUUGAGUCAGGUGCUAUACUUUGGUUUGCCGCAGAAGUACUUUAUGAGCAUUUCUAUUUUGUUACACAGAAUAUUAAAGAGAUCCGUACUCAGGGUUGGAAUUCAAUAAAACUGACAAUUUUUGCUACUUCAUCAAAGACAUUCUUGUGUGAAAAUGGCAUUAAAAAAAAGCUGGGUGUGAUGGCUCAUGCCUGUAAUCCCAGCACUUUGCGAGGCUGAGGUGGGCAGACCACCUGAGUUCAGGAGUUCGAGCCCAGCCUGGCCAACAUGGCAAAACUCUGUCUCUAUUAAAAAUACAAAAAUUAGCUGGUUGUGGUGGCAGGUGUCUCUAAUCUCAGUUACUCAGGAGACUGAAGCAGGAGAAUCACUUGAACCCGGGAGGCGGAGGUUGCAGUGAGCCGAGGUCAUGCUGUUGUAGUCCAGCCUGGGUGACAAAGUGAGACUCUAUCUCAAAAUAAAAACAAAAACAAAAACCUGGGAGUACAUAGCAGUGGAGAAUAUAGUGGCUACUGGCACAGUUCAGCAUCACCACCUUGACCAAGGCACCAACAGUCUUACUCAUUGUUGCUUUCCAGCAACAGACAGCAUCUUAGUACGAUUACAAAAAUCAUUUUAACUGUGCAGAUUCCUAAAGGAGUUUUGGGGACCCCCAUGGUCUGCAGUGUAUGCUGCGAACCACUGGCCUAGGUGAUGGGGAGGGACUGGGUGUGACUGGAGCUGUGCCUGGGGGCCACGGAACUGACUGUGAUGUGAAGAACAAACUGGAGGCUAGAGCAAGAGGGCUGAAAGAGGCUGCUGGAACAGCCCGGGGCAGGGUGAGAAAGGCCUACAACAGAGACAGGGAGAGCAGGGAGAGCAAGGAAGAGGAGGUGAGGUGUGUAACAGAGUGAGGGAAUGAAGUCAUCGAGGCAGAACUGGUUCUAGUCCUACCAAAUGACUGAAGAAGGUGGGGGCAAAGACCACAGCCCUCCUUGAAGGAAGGGACAGUGUUUAAUUCCUCUGUAUCCCCACUGCCUAGCAUGCAGCCAGGAAGAGGAGGGCCUCAUAUACUUAUGAUUACAUGUUUAUUAACCAAAGUCAGGUCACCAUAACAACAGUAGGACCAUCAAACAGGGGGAAAAUUCAGGAAGUGGAGCUGGCUGGGGACGGGGAGCAGGGAAAGACAAUGGCACCACCGGGGACCUUCAGAUGAAGAAGGGUGACACACAGCCACCAGGGACUAUGAAAACUCACCGAUCAGGCUAAAACCACUCUCACUCAGCCCUCAUCUGACCCAAAUCUGCAAAUGAGGCAUUAUUCAUAAUCUCCCAGGCAUGACAAAACCUCUGGUGACAGUGUAACACAGAACACUUCAAAAUGUCAUCAUAUAUAUCAUAUAUACGUUAAAAAAAACCUGAAAAGACACAUCUCAAAUUAUUAUUAUGUUUUG